rnacentral:rRNA from 1 species
CCUACGGGAGGCAGCAGUAGGGAAUUUGGAGCAAUGGGAGAAAGCCGGAAGAAGCAAAGGAGAGGGAGAGAGACGCCCUUGGGGGUGGAAAGAUCUGUCAGUGGGGACGAAACUUGACGGUACCCACAGAGGAAGCACCGGCUAACUCCGGGCCAGCAGCCGCGGUAAUACGGGGGGUGCAAGCUGUGUCCGGAAUCAUGGGGCGUAAAGAGUUCGUAGGCGGCACGUAAAGUCUGGUGUUAAAGGCAGAGGCUCAACUUCUGUACGGCACUGGAUACUUGCGAGCUAGAAUGCGGUAGAGGUAAAGGGAAUUCCUGGUGUAGCGGUGAAAUGCUUAGAUAUCAGGAGGAACAUCGGUGGCGUAAGCGCUUUACUGGGCCGUAAUUGACGCUGAGGAACGAAAGCCAGGGUAGCAAAUGGGAUUAGAUACCCCAGUAGUC